ACCCGACUCCGUGAAGCUGGAUUCGCUAGUAAUCGCGCAUCAGCCAUGGCGCGGUGAAUACGUUCCCGGGCCUUGUACACACCGCCCGUCAAGCCAUGGGAGUCAGCAACGCCCGAAGCCGGUGACCCAACCGAAAGGAGGGAGCCGUCGAAGGUGGGGCCGAUAACUGGGGUGAAGUCGUAACAAGGUAUC
rnacentral:rRNA from 1 species